GAAAUUUAAGGGCGUACGGUGGAUGCCUAGACUAAAAGAGGCGAUGAAGGACGUAGCGUAACUGCGAUAAGCUUCGGGGAGGCGUGUAGCGGCCAUUAUAUCCGGAGAUUUCCGAAUGGGGAAACCCUAUCGAGUAAACCUCGAUAAUUCCGAGCGCAAGCUUGGAGAGCAAACCCUGGGAAGUGAAACAUCUCAGUACCAGGAGGAAAAGAAAAAAAUAUUUAUUUCCUAAGUAGCGGCGAGCGAAAAGGAAAAAGCCCAAAUCCAGCUCUAAUUUUGACACUGACAAUAAAUCAUUACUUUAACUUAUAUUUUCCUUUAAGUUUUUGUGAUGAAAUAAUUUCGGUUUCAGAAUUAGGGCUGGAGGUUGUAAGAUGACGAUAUAGAUUUAUCUAGAAGAGUCAAAAAAUAAGUUAUUAGCUUAAGUUGCUGGAAAGCGACACCAUAGGGGGUGAUAGUCCCGUGAGCGAAAAUAAUUUAUCUCUUUUAUUGUUAUUCUUGAGUACCUCAGGACACAAAUGGCCGGGGGGAAUCUGCCGGAACUAACCGGCAAGGCUAAAUACUCUUUUAGAUCGAUAGUGAACUAGUACCGUGAGGGAAAGGUGAAAAGCAGCCCGGUUAGGGCGGUGAAAUAGACCUGAAACCGUAUGUCUACAAGGAGUUGGAGUGGUGAGUUUAUUCGAACCACGACAGCGUGCCUAUUGAAGAAUGAGCCAACGAGUUUAUGCAUGUUGCUGGCUAAGCUGACUAAAACAGUGGAGCCAAAGGGAAACCGAGUGUGAAUAGCGCGCAAUUGGUAAUAUGCAUAAGACCCGAAGCCAGGUGAGCUUGCCAUGAGCAGGAUGAAGUAGGUCGAAAGACUUAUGGAGGUCCGAACGGGUAGAUCGUACAACGUCUUCCGAUGACUUGUGGUAAGGAGUGAAAAGCUAAUCGAACCUGGUAAUAGCUGGUUCUCUCCGAAAUAGCUUUAGGGCUAGCGUCAAGUAUUUUCUCUGGGGGUAGAGCACUGGAAGGUUCGGACAGGCCGAAAGGUCGCUGAACCUAUCAAACUCCGAAUACCAGAGAUAUUAAUUUGGCAGUUACACCGUGGGGGCGAAGCUCCACUGGUGAAAAGGGAAACAGCCCGGAUCUCUAUAUAAGGUCCCUAAAUUCAUGCUAAGUGUAAAACAAGAAGGUAAAGUUUCUUAAACAAUGAGGAGGUUGGCCCAGAAGCAGCCAUCCUUUAAAGAUAGCGUAACAGCUCACUCAUCUAGAGAUUUUGCGUCGAAAAUAAUUGGGGCUAAGCAUGGUACCGAAUGUGAGGGUGGGUCGCCGUCGCGUAAGCUAUGGCGGGCCGCGGUAGGAGAGUGUUCCGCUCUGCGAUGAAGUGGGACCCGUGAGGGCCCAUGGAGCGUGCGGAAGCAAAAAUGUUGGCACAAGUAACCGCAAUGCGGCUGAGAACGCCGCACGUCGAAAGAUCAAGGUUUCCUUGGUAAUGUCAAUCAGCCAAGGGUUAGUCGGGCCUAAGGGAAUGGCGAAAGCCGUACUCGAUGGACAAGAGGUUAAUAUUCCUCUACUUUUAUAUUUUGCGACGGGAAGACGGAGUGGAAUAUGCAUCGCUCAUUAUUGGAUUUGAAGUUUGUUUAUCACGUAUGCUCUGUAGGAAAAUCCGCAGACUGCCUUUGAUGGCGAAUAUGGGGUAAAUGAAAAGCUUCCCAGCCCCACUUUUGCGAAUCAGUUCGUAAAGUGGUAAAAACCUUUUUUAUGCACAAUAUAUCUUAGAAAUAAGAUUGAGUGGUAAAAGUGGGGCUGGGGGGCUAUGGUGCAAAAGACGCUUCCAAGAAAAUUCUCUAAGCUUAAAGAUAUAAAAUCCGUACCGCAAACCGACACAGGUGAUCAGGUCGAGUAGACCAAGACGAACGAGUGAGUGGUCCCCAAGGAACUCG
rnacentral:rRNA from 1 species